AGAGUUUGAUCCUGGCUCAGAAUGAACGCUGGCGGCAUGCCUAACACAUGCAAGUCGAACGAAGCCUUCGGGCUUAGUGGCGCACGGGUGCGUAACGCGUGGGAAUCUGCCCUUGGGUUCGGAAUAACAGUUAGAAAUGACUGCUAAUACCGGAUGAUGUCGCAAGACCAAAGAUUUAUCGCCCAAGGAUGAGCCCGCGUAGGAUUAGCUAGUUGGUGAGGUAAAAGCUCACCAAGGCGACGAUCCUUAGCUGGUCUGAGAGGAUGAUCAGCCACACUGGGACUGAGACACGGCCCAGACUCCUACGGGAGGCAGCAGUGGGGAAUAUUGGACAAUGGGCGAAAGCCUGAUCCAGCAAUGCCGCGUGAGUGAUGAAGGCCCUAGGGUUGUAAAGCUCUUUUACCCGGGAUGAUAAUGACAGUACCGGGAGAAUAAGCUCCGGCUAACUUCGUGCCAGCAGCCGCGGUAAUACGAGGGGAGCUAGCGUUAUUCGGAAUUACUGGGCGUAAAGCGCACGUAGGCGGCUUUGUAAGUUAGAGGUGAAAGCCCAGAGC
rnacentral:rRNA from 1 species